UAUAGUUCAGAGACAGUGCUC
rnacentral:miRNA from 1 species